UUUUUCGUGUAAGUAUGUCCCGUGCAAUAUUUGGAAUAUACUUAUACUAAAA
rfam:Canis lupus familiaris chromosome 5, whole genome shotgun sequence.